GGGUGAGUAAUGUCUGGGAAACUGCCUGAUGGAGGGGGAUAACUACUGGAAACGGUAGCUAAUACCGCAUAACGUCGCAAGACCAAAGAGGGGGACCUUCGGGCCUCUUGCCAUCAGAUGUGCCCAGAUGGGAUUAGCUAGUAGGUGGGGUAAUGGCUCACCUAGGCGACGAUCCCUAGCUGGUCUGAGAGGAUGACCAGCCACACUGGAACUGAGACACGGUCCAGACUCCUACGGGAGGCAGCAGUGGGGAAUAUUGCACAAUGGGCGCAAGCCUGAUGCAGCCAUGCCGCGUGUGUGAAGAAGGCCUUCGGGUUGUAAAGCACUUUCAGCGAGGAGGAAGGUGGUGAGCUUAAUACGUUCAUCAAUUGACGUUACUCGCAGAAGAAGCACCGGCUAACUCCGUGCCAGCAGCCGCGGUAAUACGGAGGGUGCAAGCGUUAAUCGGAAUUACUGGGCGUAAAGCGCACGCAGGCGGUUUGUUAAGUCAGAUGUGAAAUCCCCGGGCUCAACCUGGGCACUGCAUUUGAAACUGGCAAGCUAGAGUCUCGUAGAGGGGGGUAGAAUUCCAGGUGUAGCGGUGAAAUGCGUAGAGAUCUGGAGGAAUACCGGUGGCGAA
rnacentral:rRNA from 1 species